UGGGCCACCAGGGUGGGUGGAACUGCCCUGGGAGGAGGGCGAACAGGACACCCCGCCCACCUCUCCAGGCGAAAACUUUCCAGCCCAGACCCACCCCUCUUCCUGCUGCUGUUCCUUUGCCUGCUCUGUUUGUGCCUCACACACUCCGGGCCUUACACAGCCAGCCCGAACCCCGAGCCUCUGCCCUUGAGCUGGAUGCUGGGGACCCUGCUGGACACAAGGCAGAUCUGGUCCCUAGUCUGCACCCCGGCUGAGCUUUAAGUGCCUGGUGCUGGACAGAAUUCAGAGCAAAUGCAUUUGGUAAAUGUUGGUUUAAACCACGAGGGGUUCACCAAGCUUCUCCACUCCCCGGAUACACGAGAGGUGUGUCAAUCCUAGCGACAAGUGAUGGAAGACUCAAGAGGCUGGUUUCAAGAUUCACCCUCAUCUCCUGUGAGGAGGCUUCUCCUUGAUUCAGACGACCGAGCUGAAGACAGCCAACCACCCCCAGGCUGUCACCUUCAAAACAGUUAACCCUUGAACAUGGGUGUGAAACAAUUUUUCAGUAAAUAUGUGCUCAGUGCAACAUGG